UACAGAGGUCUCAAGCGUUUGUUCGGAUUCAUUGGGCGUAAAGGGUGCGUAGGUGGCGCGCUAAGUCAGGUGUGAAAUUUCGGAGCUUAACUCCGAAACUGCAUUUGAUACUGGCGUGCUUGAGGACUGGAGAGGAGAGACUUGGAAUUCAUGGUGUAGCAGUAGAAAUGGCGUAGAGAUCAUGAGGAAGAUCAGUGGCGAAGGCGGGUCUCUGGACAGUUCCUGACACUGAGGCACGAAGGCCAGGGGAGCAAACGGG
rnacentral:rRNA from 1 species